rnacentral:rRNA from 1 species
UAGGGUGCGAGCGUUGUCCGGAAUUACUGGGCGUAAAGGGCUCGUANGUGGUUUGUCGCGUCGUCUGUGAAAUUCCGGGGCUUAACUCCGGGCGUGCAGGCGAUACGGGCAUAACUUGAGUACUGUAGGGGUAACUGGAAUUCCUGGUGUAGCGGUGAAAUGCGCAGAUAUCAGGAGGAACACCGAUGGCGAAGGCAGGUUACUGGGCAGUUACUGACGCUGAGGAGCGAAAGCAUGGGUAGCGAACAGGAUUAGAUACCCUGGUAGUCAAGGGCG